GAUGAAGAACGUAGCGAAAUGCGAUACUUGGUGUGAAUUGCAUAAUCCCGUGAACCAUCGAGUUGCUGCUUGGGGUGAAUGUUGGCCUCCCGUGAGCUUUGUCUCACGGUUGGUUGAAAAUCGAGUGCAUGGUGUCGGGUGUACCAUGAUGGAUGGUGGUUGAGUGAUGAUGCUCGAGACCAAUCAUGGGUAACUCCACCAGAAUUGGGCUCGGUGACCCACAUGCGUCCCUUGGAUGCUCCCUAAGGAGACCUCAGGUCAGGCGGGGCUACCCGCUGAGUUUAAGCAUAUCAAUAAGCGGAGGA
rnacentral:misc_RNA from 1 species